rnacentral:rRNA from 1 species
CCUACGGGGGGCAGCAGUAGGGAAUAUUGCACAAUGGGGGAAACCCUGAUGCAGCAACGCCGCGUGGAGGAAGAAGGUUUUCGGAUUGUAAACCCCUUUUGUUAGAGAAGAUAAUGACGGUAUCUAACGAAUAAGCACCGGCUAACUCCGUGCCAGCAGCCGCGGUAAUACGGAGGGUGCAAGCGUUACUCGGAAUCACUGGGCGUAAAGAGUGCGUAGGCGGGAUAGCAAGUCAGAUGUGAAAUCCUAGGGCUUAACCAGAGAACUGCAUUUGAAACUGUUAUUCUAGAGUAUGGGAGAGGUAGGUGGAAUUCUUGGUGUAGGAGUGAAAUCCGUAGAGAUCAAGAGGAAUACUCAUGGCGAAGGCGACCUGCUAGAACAUAACUGACGCUGAGGCGCGAAAGCGUGGGGAGCAAACAGGAUUAGAUACCCGUGUAGUC